rnacentral:rRNA from 1 species
GUGGCGACCGGCGCACGGGUGAGUAACGCGUAUGCAACUUACCUAUCAGAGGGGGAUAGCCCGGCGAAAGUCGGAUUAAUACCCCAUGAAACAGGGGUCCCGCAUGGGAAUAUUUGUUAAAGAUUCAUCGCUGAUAGAUAGGCAUGCGUUCCAUUAGGCAGUUGGCGGGGUAACGGCCCACCAAACCGACGAUGGAUAGGGGUUCUGAGAGGAAGGUCCCCCACAUUGGUACUGAGACACGGACCAAACUCCUACGGGAGGCAGCAGUGAGGAAUAUUGGUCAAUGGCCGAGAGGCUGAACCAGCCAAGUCGCGUGAAGGAAGAAGGAUCUAUGGUUUGUAAACUUCUUUUAUAGGGGAAUAAAGUGGAGGACGUGUCCUUUUUUGUAUGUACCCUAUGAAUAAGCAUCGGCUAACUCCGUGCCAGCAGCCGCGGUAAUACGGAGGAUGCGAGCGUUAUCCGGAUUUAUUGGGUUUAAAGGGUGCGUAGGUGGUGAUUUAAGUCAGCGGUGAAAGUUUGUGGCUCAACCAUAAAAUUGCCGUUGAAACUGGGUUACUUGAGUGUGUUUGAGGUAGGCGGAAUGCGUGGUGUAGCGGUGAAAUGCAUAGAUAUCACGCAGAACUCCGAUUGCGAAGGCAGCUUACUAAACCAUAACUGACACUGAAGCACGAAAGCGUGGGGAUCAAACAGGAUUAGAUACCCUGGUAGUCCACGCAGUAAACGAUGAUUACUAGGGAGUUUGCGAUACAAUGUAAGCUCUACAG